GCCGAAUGGCGCAGUGGUUAGUGACCCUGACCACUGAGCCGAAGGUCCCGGGUUCGAUUCCCGGCUGGGGCA
rnacentral:tRNA from 1 species